AGUUUGAUCCUGGCUCAGAUUGAACGCUGGCGGCAGGCCUAACACAUGCAAGUCGAGCGGUAACAGAUUGAUAGCUUGCUAUCAAUGCUGACGAGCGGCGGACGGGUGAGUAAUGCCUGGGAAUAUGCCCUGAUGUGGGGGAUAACUAUUGGAAACGAUAGCUAAUACCGCAUAAUCUCUUCGGAGCAAAGAGGGGGACCUUCGGGCCUCUCGCGUCAGGAUUAGCCCAGGUGGGAUUAGCUUGUUGGUGGGGUAAUGGCUUACCAAGGCAACGAUCCCUAGCUGGUCUGAGAGGAUGAUCAGCCACACUGGAACUGAGACACGGUCCAGACUCCUACGGGAGGCAGCAGUGGGGAAUAUUGCACAAUGGGGGAAACCCUGAUGCAGCCAUGCCGCGUGUAUGAAGAAGGCCUUCGGGUUGUAAAGUACUUUCAGUUGUGAGGAAGGCAGUAAAGUUAAUAGCUUUGCUGUUUGACGUUAGCAACAGAAGAAGCACCGGCUAACUCCGUGCCAGCAGCCGCGGGUAAUACGGAGGGUGCGAGCG
rnacentral:rRNA from 2 species